CGGGGCUAAUACCGGAUAACACAUGAAACCGCAUGGUUCCAUGAUGAAAGACGGUUUUGCUGUCACUUAUAGAUGGACCCGCGGCGUAUUAGCUAGUUGGUAAGGUAACGGCUUACCAAGGCAACGAUACGUAGCCGACCUGAGAGGGUGAUCGGCCACACUGGAACUGAGACACGGUCCAG
rnacentral:rRNA from 1 species